rnacentral:rRNA from 1 species
CCUAGCUGGUUGAUCCUGCCAGUAGUGAUAUGCUUGUUUCAAAGACUAAGCCAUGCAUGUCUAAGUCCAAGCUGUGUGUUUGUGGGUGAAAGCUCGCACACACGGCGAAACCGCGGACGGCUCAUUAAAUCAGUUGUGGUCCAAAUGGGCUAGCGUUAUCUUACUUGGAUAACUGUGGUAAUUCCAGAGCUAAUACAUGCAACAGAUAGUUCGAACGACGUGUUUGUUGGGCAGGGGUCUCUCUGCCUUUCAUUCUUUCGUUGUGACGACUGCUUUUAUUAGACCAAAACCGCAUAGGGAGUGAGAGUGUUUUAUCUUUCGCUCCUGACGACUCGUGUAAUGGUGACUCUGGAUAACAAACUAUGACAAGCGCACGUAUCCAUUCAUUUGGGACGGCGCUUCCACUUUCGAGUGUCUGACUUAUCAGCUAUGAAUCGUUCGUUAUGUGCUACCGAUGGCUUUGACGGGUAACGGGGAAUCAGGGUUUGAUUCCGGAGAGGCAGCCUGAGAAACGGCUACCACGUCCAAGGACGGCAGCAGGCACGCAAAUUACCCAAUCCCAGCUACUGGGGGAGGUAGUGACGAAAUCUAACGAUGCGGGCGCCCCUUCUGGGGCCCCGCAAUCGGAAUGAGCAUUUUCUUUCUAAACACCCUGUUGAGAACCCACUGAAGGGCAAGUCUGGUGCCAGCAGCCGCGGUAAUUCCAGCUUCAGCAGCAUAUACUAAAGUUGCUGCGGUUAAAAGGCUCGCAGUUGAAUGUCAGUACCAAGUGUAGCGAUGGUGGACGUUGGGGUGUGGGAUCGGUCCCUCGUUAUGGCUGUGUUUGUGUGUUCGCUUUGCGGCGUGCAUAUAUAUCAUUGCUACGCGAGUGUGUUCGUUCUCCAUCUAUAGCCCCCGUCCGUAAACAGCCUCCUCACUUUCGUACAAAAUGGAAUCUAUACGUUUUAAAGUAUUGAGUUUUGUUGGCUUUACUAUGGCGUCGCGUACUUUACUGUGCGUGGCGUGGUUUGGUCUUUGAUUCUUGUGCCCGGGAAUAUGGUCCCAAUGUUACCUUGAGUAAAUUGGAGUGCUCAAAGCAGUCGUAAGGAAUGUGCAGUUAACGCUGUACGUUCUGUGAUGAAUGUCUUCGGACAGACAGUCUUGGUUUUGCAUGGUAUGUCGAAAGACGCCGUAUAAUCUCCUGUUGGUAACGAGUCUGGGGCGGGCUCGCACCUUAGACUCGCGCUCAUACUCUUUCGGGGGUGUGUGUGUGUUGUUGAGAGAGUGCGACAUAUGAGACCAACAGGUACGGAAUGAUUAAAAGGCUCGGUCGAGGGUAUCGGUAUUGCGAGGCGAGAGGUGAAAUUCUAUGACCCCCGCAAGACCUCCUGAAGCGAAAGCGUCUGCCAUGGACGUUUUCAUUAAUCAUGAACGAAAGUUAGAGGAUCGAAGGCGAUCAGAUACCGCCCUAGUUCUAACCCUAAACGAUGCCAACCAUCAAUCCGCGCGUAGCCCUUUCUAACGGGCUCGGCGGGCAGCUCCCCACUCACGGGAAACCAGAGUCUCUGGGUUCCGGGGGGAGUCUGGUUGCAAAGCUGAAACUUAAAGGAAUUGACGGAAAGGCACCACCAGGCGUGGCAGCUGCGGCUUAAUUUGACUCAACACGGGCCAUCUCACCAGGCCAGCACUCUUGUAUGAUUGACAGAUUGAAAGUUCUUUCUCGAUUCAGUGGAUGGUGGUGCAUGGCCGUUCUUAGUUGGUGGAGUGAUCUGUCUGGUUAAUUCCGAUAUACGAACGAGACUCUCCCCUGCUAACUAGUCGGUUGGAUCUUGCGUCUGGAGAGUUGUGUAUUCGCUUGCGCUCGUUCGUUGCUUUCAUUGGGUAUUUGUGUGUGUUGCUCCUCCGUGGGUGAUAUAUAUUUUAUUCGAUGUUUAGUGUACUUACGCGGUGUCUUUGUGUUUCACACUCCAAGUCCGCCGCUUAUUCAAAAUGUGAUGUCUAACAGCAAAGCGAUAUAUGUGUAAAACUCUUCUUAGAGGGAUUCACGGUUCUGAAACCGUAAGAAACUGAGAGCAAUAACAGGUCUGUGAUGCCCUUAGAUGUUCUGGGCCGCACGCGCCGCUACAAUGCCGGGCUCAGCAGGUACUUAUCCUUCUCCGAGAGGAGUGGGUAAUCCUCUCGAAAGCCCUUCAAACAAUAAUUCAAAGGCUUACGUCUCUCGCGUGUUAUGCGCGAGAACGUUAUCUCUUCCUUGGCUUGCUUGGGCCUGGGGCUUGCAAUUCUUUCCCACAAACGAGGAAUGCCUAGUAGCGGCGGAUCACGGAGUUCGCUGUGACUCAGUCCCUGCCCUUUGUACACACCGCCCGUCGCUACUACCGAUUGGGUGUACCAGUGAGAUCUUUGGACUGGCGAGCCUUGUGUUCUUUACCGAGCGCAAGUGUGUACGACGGGAAGAGGCUCGAACUGGUGCACUUAGAGGAAGUAAAAGUCGUAACAAGGUUUCCGUAGUGAACCUGCGGAAGGAUCAUUA